AUUGAACGCUGGCGGCAUGCCUUACACAUGCAAGUCGAACGGCAGCACGGGAGCAAUCCUGGUGGCGAGUGGCGAACGGGUGAGUAAAGUAUCGGAACGUGCCCAGUCGUGGGGGAUAACGUAGCGAAAGUUACGCUAAUAACGCAUACGAUCUAUGGAUGAAAGCGGGGGAUCGCAAGACCUCGCGCGAUUGGAGCGGCCGAUAUCAGAUUAGGUAGUUGGUGGGGUAAAGGCUCACCAAGCCGACGAUCUGUAGCUGGUCUGAGAGGACGACCAGCCACACUGGGACUGAGACACGGCCCAGACUCCUACGGGAGGCAGCAGUGGGGAAUUUUGGACAAUGGGCGAAAGCCUGAUCCAGCCAUGCCGCGUGCAGGAUGAGGGCCUUCGGGUUGUAAACUGCAUUUGUACGGAACGAAAAGGUUUGGGCUAAUAAGCUGAGCUCAUGACGGUACCGUAAGAAUAAGCACCGGCUAACUACGUGCCAGCCGCCGCGGUAA
rnacentral:rRNA from 1 species